CAAUAGCGUAUAUUAAAGCUGUUGCGGUUAAAAAGCUCGUAGUUGGAUUUCUGUCAAGUACAACUGGUCCGCCCUCCGGGUGAGCACAUAGUUUGGUCUUGGCAUCUUGCUGGAAACUGUUGCUGCACUUGGCUGUGUGGCGCAGCGUCCAGCACUUUCACUUUGAGGAAAUUGGAGUGUUUCAAGCAGGCACAUGCCUUUGGACACAGUAGCAUGGAAUAAUUAGAUUGGGCUUUUGCUCCAAUUUGUCGGUUUCUGGAGCUGAGGUGAGAAUUAAUGGGGAUUGUUGGGGGCAUCCGAAUUUAGCCGUCAGAGGUGAAAUUCUUGGAUCUGCUAAAGACGGACAACUGUGAAAGCGUUUGCCCAGGAUGUUUUCAUUGA
rnacentral:rRNA from 1 species